ACCCUCCUACGGGGGGCAGCAGUGGGGGAUAUUGGACAAUGGGGGGAACCCUGAUCCAGCGACGCCGCGUGAGUGAAGAAGUAUUUCGGUAUGUAAAGCUCUGUCAGCAGGGAAGAAAGGUGAUAGGAGGAAAUGACUAUCAAUUGACGGUACCUUAUGAGAAAGCCACGGCUAACUACGUGCCAGCAGCCGCGGUAAUACGUAGGUGGCAAGCGUUAUCCGGAAUUAUUGGGCGUAAAGAGCGCGCAGGUGGUUAAUUAAGUCUGAUGUGAAAGCCCACGGCUUAACCGUGGAGGGUCAUUGGA
rnacentral:rRNA from 1 species